CUCAGAUUGACUCUAAUCUUACAUGUAAUGACUUGAAUAACUCAUAUAUUUUUGUAUUAACUAGAAUAACUCUCAAGAGAAACAAAAAUACCAAAAGACCAGCCCAACCACCAUUAUUCACUGUUUUGCCAUUUUAUUUUAUUAAUAUGAAAAACUUUUUAAUUGUGUAAAAAAAAAAAGAAAGUCUCCUUCUCUCUUACAGGAAUCGUCGACAGGAAAAAAAAAACCAGAAACUUGCGACUUCUUCUCCUAGGCUCAUCUCUGAUCUCAGACAGAUCCUUCUCCGUCACCGCCUUCGAAGGUCACGGACGUCUUCGAUUCCGAACACCCCAACCCCAUCUCUUCUUCCUGUUUGUUGCGAGAGAGAAACCCUAACUCCACACCACCGCCUGCAAUUCCCAGAAACUUAAACUCGAUGGCCUCAUCUUCUGCUAUUAAAAUGUAUACUCCGCGUUUAUAUGAAGUUGGGCUGUUAUUUCUCAAAUCUUCAGAUGGUUGAAAAAAAUGUUGGUGCAGACGCUUGGCUUGAGUUGCGGGAAUCUGCUAUUGGAGUGAUUAUCAAGCUGAAGGAAUCAGAAUACACUUGGUCUGCAAAAUAUGUUCACUACUUUCUAACCAAUCAAUUUGCAGUAAAGAGAUUAUCAAACUCCAUAAAAAUUGUUUCAUACGAAGGGAAAGAUAGUCAUACAGUUCAUAGUUGUGUUCAUACUCUGGUUGUUGUCUUGCUCUAGGAAGAUGUUUUUUCAGAUAUAUUUAAAUCAUAUGGCUGUAUCUGUAUGUAUAUUGUCCCACAUAUUAACAUGAGUCUCUGUUAACAUUGUAAGACUUUGCUAAAUCUUAUAUAUAUAUUUGGUUGAAAAUAAA